UAAAUGUGCGAAUCGGUGGUUUUGUUAGUAUAUCUGGCGGGUCUUGUCAGCGAACUAUGCCCCUAGGUUAUAUAGGUAGCUCAUAUUUUUUGGUCAUUGUUUUACGCUUUAAUUCUUUUAUGUUAGGUGCAGGAGGAGACGAUAUUGUCAAUUGGAGAUGAUAUGUCUCUGGCAGGUGCAUCAUGCAGCGUGUCUAAGUUGUUUAGAGAGCUGUUUGAUUAUUUGAUUGAGUGGCCUGGAUUCAUGUAACUCUUUUACAAUGCUCCAAUGAUGUACAGAGCUCCAACUACAUGACCCAUUGGUAAAUGAGGGUAAAGAUCGUUUGAACAUAGGAUGUCAUUGGUCAUUGUUGUUGAGCGUCAACAGUAACUAGUGAGGUAUAUCCCCACGCUGGAGAGUUACACAAGCAGUUAAUCAGGAUUUGGCAGUAAAGUUCAAGCACAUAAACUGACAUUCACCGUCAGCUAUUAAUUAAUUGUUGUGGAUUCAGUGCUGCUUAUUAUAUGCUUUUUUAGCGUAGGAUUUUCUAAUGAAACCCUAGGUCCCUAUAAAACUCAAUAAGAAAAGGUCGGGGUUUGCCGCGACUGUGCCAGACUGUGCCAGCUGAUCGCUUUUGUGAUGAUGACGCAACGAUGAGUCCCGUUGCUACACGCGUUUCAAUGCCGCCUGUUGCAAAACAUUCACACGCGUACCACGCUUGCACAGCUUGCUCGCGGUAAUGUGGUAUGCUGCCAUUAUGCUAACAAGCACGUCCGCAGUAUACUACGUGUUGACGGUUUCUGUGGCUUAACAUGGACAGCGACGCACAACACUUAGUGUGCGAAUGCACCAGUAGUGAAUGGAUUGAUCCCCAUAACAAAGGAAUCCUUGGGUAAGUAUCACCGGAGCAUAUCCUGCACCCAAACAUGGUAAAAUAACCAGUGACUGGAGCCAGCCGGCGCCGGUGGCAAAAAAGCGCAUUCCUCAUGCAAACAGAGCAGAGAUUGACGGCUUGAGUUGGUGACAAAGACGGCCUGAAUUGCAGCAUGAGAAGCUGGAAAACAAAGUGGAUUGUGGGGCUGCUACUGCUGUCCCUGUCCGCAACACCGCCUGCCAGACAUUCUCCUGCCACUGAGCGAUACAGGCUCCCGCAAACACCAGCAAUAGCAUGCAACAGCGCAAUGACCCCCUUCACGUGUAUGGGUAUAUCGGUUCAGGUGUGUGCGAGCUGCUUUGUUUGACAUAAGGUGAAAGUACCUCGCGUGCUAACAGAAAUGCAUGAAGAGAGCCCCUUACGACAGCAAGCGCAGAGGCUCCCAAGUGCUCGCCGCCCACCAGGCGCAAUUACACGCCAAAGGCGUACCCUGCCACAAUUUCCACAGCGCGCCGUGGCUGACGGUAGCUGCCGUGCUGCCGUAGCUGACGGUCCAUUCAUUUAUUGCCGGUGUCCUGAUACCAAUCUUGUUGAGAAUAGCCGAGGACCGUGAAAAGAUUGCACAAAAGCAUAUGGACUUGCGAUAUCUUGCCAUAGCAAAAGGAGUUGAACAAUUCGGAUUGGAUUGGCGAAACCGGAAAGCGGAAGAUAUGCCACGCAAAAUGGCCAAAACACCAUACAUGAGCAUAUUUCAAAUUAUUUAAGGCAGCGAUGCACCUACAGCAUUUAGGUAUGUGGUGAGAAUGCAGCAGAAGCAAUCAAUAACUGAUGUUUUAAAAUGCACCGAUAUUGUGAAUCGGAAUUGAAUAAAAGUAUCAGGAAAUGAAGAUAACCAGUUCAGAAGGGCAGCUUAAACCGUUUUGCGCUGUGAAAUACGCUGAGAGAUACGUGGAUUGAAAGAUACUCUUAGAUAUUAACGGUAGUCCCGGAUACAUAAAGCGUAGUCGGACCUUACAAGAGCGCUCAAGUGUGUGGUUGUUACAGUGGGCUCCAGACUCCCGAAGAGUAGAGCCAUCGGGCCAGCUGGCCGUGCACUGCAGUAGAGACUAAUAUACCAAAAGAUUAUCAUCUCAGAUAAUUAACCUCUCAUCGGUAACCGCUCUCGCGAACAAAUCAAUUUGCCAGAUAUAAUCCUCAAAAAGGGGUGAUGUGCGCCAACGUAAUGUGUUCAGGCCCGGUAUAUCCUGCAGUUAUUUGCAAGUUGAAAGCCAGAGAUCUGCUGACGUUCCCAAAAUAUCUUUCCUCGCUUCCUUGUUCAAUCGUAAAACGGCGCGUCCAUUUCCUUGGGUGCCUGACUCUCACAGGGCGCUUAAAGCCCCAUGUGCGAGGGGUAGCAUAUAAGAUGCAAACAUAUCUUGAGCAACGCCAAAGGACACACCCAGCAGUAAAACUGCAGCAUGUCUUUGGAAUAAAUGACAUUCCCGUAAUAAGCUGUGAUGCAUGAUGGCAAAGUUUAGACAUGUUGCGGCACGAAACGCUGAAACGAUGACAAGUUGCAGGAAAGGAGUACAUGGAGACGUAAUGACAAACAUCAUACAGUAACCUGAUUGGCGAUCAAAAUUCAUAACGAGAUCAUAUCAACAUGCACUACAUCUCGCUCCAUGAGUAACGCAACAGUCGCGAUCACCUUUCCGUACGAUUCUGGGCCUUAUGUGAGGCCACCACGCACAUACAAAAGGCCAUCGACCAACACGAUUUUGCACACACAAGUAGUGAACGUAUCUACUACUUUCAUCGUGUCACCUAAUACACUUAAUAUAAACAUGGCUGCUAUUGUGAAGUCCGCCGCCCGCAGCUCUGUGCGCCCUGUUACGGUCGCAAGCCGGGUGAGUACUUUCCGCCGAAUCCGCAGGUCGACAUGGGCCAAUCGAUAACACUGGAUGUUCCUAUUCUUUCCUAGAUCUAUUAGGCUUUUCGGGCAGCGCAAGCUAUACGCAAGCUUGGUGAUUUGCGUUAUACCUUCACCCACCCCCAGCACCUUUAACGAUGCGCUGCCUCCCUUCCCUCUAUGCCGUAGGCUGCUCGCGUGGUGCCUCGCGCUGCCAUUGAGUGGUAUGGUCCUGACCGGCCCAAGUUCCUGGGUGAGAUGGGAGGGAUAAGUUCACGACAUGGAUAGACACCAGUUACCUGUGCUAUGAUUCACCCUCGGUUUCCCCUCCGUGCUUUCCGUAUUCUGGACGCCAUGACGACGUCACUAGGCCGGUGCUGACUUGCCUCCUCCGUUCCUUCGCUCCCUCAGGCCCCUUCUCUGAGGGCGAUACCCCUGCCUACCUCACCGGCGAGUUCCCCGGCGACUACGGCUGGGACACUGCCGGCCUGUCCGCUGACCCGGAGACCUUCAAGCGCUACCGCGAGCUGGAGCUCAUCCAUGCGCGCUGGGCCAUGCUGGGCGCUCUGGGCUGCGUGACCCCCGAGCUGCUGUCCAAGUACGCGGGCGUCUCGUUCGGCGAGGCUGUCUGGUUCAAGGCCGGCGCCCAGAUCUUCGCUGAGGGCGGGCUGAACUACCUGGGCAAUGAGAACCUGGUGCACGCGCAGUCCAUCAUUGCCACCCUGGCCUUCCAGGUAGGAUGGAAGUAAAAAAAGUAGAUGAUAGGUGCGGGAAGAUGAAGGCCUUGGUUCGAGUGAACCUUUUUAUCCAGCCCUAUAAACUAGCAGCGCCUCCGUUGGGUAUUUGUGACGUCACUCAUCUUUGCUGCAGGUCCCUAAACCACUAUAUGAAGAGCAACGUCCACAGCAGACGUAAAAUAGGUCAUGGCAAUUGAUCAUCACACGCUCUGUAAAUCUAUUACUGUGCCCAAUUCUCAGUUCGCCUGGGUCCCGUCCGCCUCAUCCCCGCAGGUUGUCGUGAUGGGCCUGGCUGAGGCCUACCGCGCCAACGGCGGCCCGCUGGGUGAGGGCCUGGACCCGCUGCACCCCGGUGGCGCCUUCGACCCGCUGGGCCUGGCGGACGACCCGGACACCUUCGCCGAGCUCAAGGUCAAGGAGAUCAAGAACGGCCGCCUGGCCAUGUUCUCCAUGUUCGGCUUCUUCGUGCAGGCCAUUGUGACCGGCAAGGGCCCCAUCGAGAACCUGUCUGACCACCUCGCCAACCCCAGCGCCGUCAACGCCUUCGCCUACGCCACCAAGUUCACCCCCUCCGCUUAAAUGUAGCACCUGGUCGUCUUGCGCACAUCGCAUGCCUUUG
rnacentral:lncRNA from 1 species